UAGGGAAUCUUCCACAAUGGGCGCAAGCCUGAUGGAGCAACGCCGCGUGAGUGAAGAAGGUCUUCGGAUCGUAAAACUCUGUUGUUAGAGAAGAACAUGCAGGAGAGUAACUGUUCAUUCGAUGACGGUAUCUAACCAGCAAGUCACGGCUAACUACGUACCAG
rnacentral:rRNA from 1 species